ACCGGCGGCCCGAGUGGUGAUCGUGAUAUUGGGUCUAAAGGGUCCGUAGCCGGUUGGUCAGUCCUCCGGGAAAUCUGAUAGCUCAACUAUUAGGCUUUCGGGGGAUACUGCCAGACUGGAACCGGGAGAGGUAAGAGGUACUACAGGGGUAGGAGUGAAAUCUUGUAAUCCCUGUGGGACCACCUGUGGCGAAGGCGUCUUACCAGAACGGGUUCGACGGUGAGGGACGAAAGCUGGGGGCACGAACCGGAUUAGAUACCCGGGUAGUCCCAGCCGUAAACGAUGCUCGCUAGGUGUCAGGCAUGGCGCGACCGUGUCUGGUGCCGCAGGGAAGCCGUGAAGCGAGCCACCUGGGAAGUACGGCCGCAAGGCUGAAACUUAAAGGAAUUGGCGGGGGGAGCACAACAACGGGUGGGAAGCCUGCGGUUUAAUUGGACUCAACGCCGGACAACUCACCGGGGGCGACAGCAAUAUGUAGGCCAAGCUGAAGACUUUGCCUGAAUCGCUGAGAAGAGGUGCAUGG
rnacentral:rRNA from 1 species